GACGAACGCUGGCGGCGUGCUUAACACAUGCAAGUCGAACGGAAAGGCCCUGCUUUUGUGGGGUGCUCGAGUGGCGAACGGGUGAGUAACACGUGAGUAACCUGCCCUUGACUUUGGGAUAACUUCAGGAAACUGGGGCUAAUACCGGAUAGGAGCUCCUGCUGCAUGUGGGGGGUUGGAAAGUUUCGGCGGUGGGGGAUGGACUCGCGGCUUAUCAGCUUGUUGGUGGGGUAGUGGCUUACCAAGGCUUUGACGGGUAGCCGGCCUGAGAGGGUGACCGGCCACAUUGGGACUGAGAUACGGCCCAGACUCCUACGGGAGGCAGCAGUGGGGAAUAUUGCACAAUGGGCGGAAGCCUGAUGCAGCAACGCCGCGUGCGGGAUGACGGCCUUCGGGUUGUAAACCGCUUUCGCCUGUGACGAAGCGUGAGUGACGGUAAUGGGUAAAGAAGCACCGGCUAACUACGUG
rnacentral:rRNA from 1 species